UUGCUGGCUCCGGUGGCACGGACGCUAACGUGGGAACAGUACAGAGAUGGUUAACGUGGCCCCCGCGCAAGGGUGACAUGCAGAUUCGUGAAGCACUCCGUACUGUU